AGAGUUUGAUCGUGGCUCAGAGUGAACGCUGGCGGCGUGGAUAAGGCAUGCAAGUCGAACGAGAAAGUCCCUUCGGGGAGCGAGUAAAGUGGCGAAAGGGUGAGUAAUGAAUAGGCAACCUGCCCGUAAGUCAGGUAUAACCCACCGAAAGGUGAGCUAAUACCGGAUAGUAUCAGGUGUCUGCGGACAUCCUGAUUAAAGCUGGGGACCCGCUUCGGCGGGCCUGGUGCUUACGGAGGGGCUUAUUUCCUAUUAGCUUGUUGGUAGGGUAACGGCCUACCAAGGCAAAGAUGGGUAGCCGGUCUGAGAGGAUGGUCGGCCACACUGGGACUGAGACACUGCCCAGACUCCUACGGGAGGCUGCAGUCGAGAAUCUUCCGCAAUGGGCGAAAGCCUGACGGAGCGACGCCGCGUGAAGGAUGAAGGCCUUCGGGUCGUAAACUUCUGUCAAAUGUUAUGAAGUACACCGGUGGACUAAUACCGGAUGUAUUGACAAAGGCAUUAAAGGAAGUCACGGCUAAAUUCGUGCCAGCAGCCGCGGUAAUACGAAUGUGGCAAGCGUUACUCGGAAUCACUGGGCAUAAAGAGUUCGUAGGCGGUAUUGCGUGUCAGAUGUGAAAGCCCCUGGCUCAACCAGGGAAUUGCAUUUGAAACUGCAGUACUUGAGGAUGGAAGAGGAGAGCGGAAUCCUGGGUGUAGCGGUGGAAUGCGUUGAUCUCCAGGAGAACAUCGGAGGCGAAGGCGGCUCUCUAUUCUAACCCUGACGCUGAGGAACGAAAGCCAGGGUAGCAAACGGGAUUAGAUACCCCGGUAGUCCUGGCCGUAAACGAUGGACACUAGAUGGAGGGCAUUAGCUCUCUGUCGUAGUUAAUGCGUUAAGUGUCCUGCCUGGGGAGUAUGGUCGC
rnacentral:rRNA from 1 species